rnacentral:rRNA from 1 species
AUUGAACGCUGGCGGCAUGCCUUACACAUGCAAGUCGAACUGCAGCACGGGUGCUUGCACCUGGUGGCGAGUGGCGAACGGGUGAGUAAUACAUCGGAACGUACCUUAUCGUGGGGGAUAACGCAGCGAAAGCUGUGCUAAUACCGCAUACGCCCUGAGGGGGAAAGCGGGGGAUCGCAGGACCUCGCGCGAUUAGAGCGGCCGAUGCCUGAUUAGCUUGUUGGUGGGGUAAAAGCCCACCAAGGCGACGAUCAGUAGCUGGUCUGAGAGGACGAUCAGCCACACUGAGCCUAAGAGACGGCCAAGACUCCUACGGGAGGCAGCAGUGGGGAAUUUUGGACAGUGGGGGCAACCCUGAUCCAUCAAUGCCGCGUGAGUGAAGAAGGCCUUCGGGUUGUAAAGCUCUUUUGUCAGGGAAGAAACACCGGCUCUAACACAGUCCGGGAAUGACGGUACCUGAAGAAUAAGCACCGGCUAACUACGUGCCAGCAGCCGCGGUAA